rnacentral:rRNA from 1 species
UACAGAGGUCUCAAGCGUUGUUCGGAUUCAUUGGGCGUAAAGGGUGCGUAGGCGGCGCGGUCAGUCGGGUGUGAAAUCUCGGGGCUUAACUCCGAAACUGCAUUCGAUACUGCCGUGCUUGAGGACUGGAGAGGAGACUGGAAUUUACGGUGUAGCGGUGAAAUGCGUAGAUAUCGUAAGGAAGACCAGUGGCGAAGGCGGGUCUCUGGACAGUUCCUGACGCUGAGGCACGAAGGUCAGGGGAGCAAACAGG